UGAAUAUACUCGGUCCUAAGCCUCUACC
rnacentral:sRNA from 1 species